CCUAAAAUGCUGUCAGGGUAACUAACUGUUAGUGCUAGCGUGGUCUGAUGGCAAGCGUGGGGUGUCAACCUUGUGGGUUCUUCUUAUAGCUCUGUCACAAACUGAAGUAGCUAUUCACCAUUUUGGUUGUCCACAGCAGAAACUGCAGAAGACUUAAAGGGGAGAUGCAAGAUGAUGCGCAGGCAGUUCAGCCUGCAGGUCUAGCUGAGCGUGGGAUGGCUGGACACACCGAGGUGGUUUUCCAACAGCCACCCUGGAUUUUGAGAAGAAUGUGUUAUUCAGAGCACUGCAAGACCAAACCUUCCUUGUAAUCAGGCAGUGGGAUUGCACUGAGGUGUGAAAAUAAAUUCAUUCAAGAGCAUCCCCUAGAGGACUUGACAGGCUACCAAAAUUAUUCAUGUUGAAAAAACUUGUCUUUAGCAAACUAUUCUCCUUUCAGGAUGUGUCUUGGCAGCAGUGGCCAUUCUCUGCUCCUGUUGCAUGUUCUUCCAGGAAACAGUUUGAUAAUGAACAAAGCAGAGGGAACACCUAUCACAGGUGAACUGGAAAUUGCCCAGACAGACCUAUAAACCGUGCAUGUAGAUCUGACCAGAGUUUGGUUUUGUUUUAUUGAAGAAAGCUUUCCUCAGCAGCAGAGUCGAGUCACUCACCUGUGACUCUCUACUUCUUUACUGUGAAGAACGCCUCCAAAUACACCUUUUUAACCUUGUGCACAGUAUCCCAUAGAAUUAAGAUCCAGAUGCGAACAGCCCUGUUAAAACUGAAAUAGACAAGGUUGACCAUAGAAUAAAUGGAAAAUGCAAGUGGCAGAAUAAAAAUCAAGUGUAUAAAUAGACUGGCUUGGAGCAUGAGUGGUAAAUAUGGUAUUGUGAGGUCUUGUGUUUCGCUACUUGUCAGAUUACUUUUAAAAUUUCUUACAACUUGCUAGCUUAUUGUAAUGGAGGAAUAUAAAAAUGUAUGCUACUUCACGGAUUUCUUUGGAAAGGUGCUUGUAUUCUGGCCUUCAAGGCUGAAGUUUCCAAAAUGGGGUCAGGCUAGGUGACUGGCCAAGGACAAUCCAUGUUAAACAUCUUUUAUUUUUAAGGUUUGCAUUUAGUAAAGCACUUCUAUAAAAAUUUGCUUAAUUUAAGCAAGUGUUUACAUCUCACUCACUAACUUGAGUUGGUGACCCUAACUUUUCCAAAUAAGCCCUGAAGCUCCAGGAAUCCACUUUGUCUCCUCCUAGCACAGGAUGUCUCAAGUCACAGGGAAAUUACAGGUUGUGUUUCUACUUCUCGGACAUUACUGCCUUGGAAUAGUCUGCUGCAAAUGUAAUUUUUGAUAAAAAGCCAAAAUAAACUUUCAAAAAAACCCUUAAAAGUUUAGCUUCACAAGAGAAGCCCCUGGAGCCCAAUUUUUGACAUUGAUAUCCCAAAUGAUCUUGGUUUGGUUAUGGUUUGGGCCAGGUUUGCAAAGUGUCACUGUGGAUUUCUUGUAUCACAAUUCUUUGUAUUUUUGUAAGCUAUUCCUUCUAACUGUAGCAGACAAGUAUAUAGUACAACUUUUUACUUUUAAAAAGUAUUGUCUAUAUUUAGCAUUACUCCCUAAUUCAAGUUGCUUUCUGAAGCUAAUGAAAGAUUUAAAUCUGGAAGCUCUUUAGCUUUUAGCACAUGAAUUUGCCUAAAAAUGUCAGCAAAACAUUUUCAAUCUGAUCCUGCAUUUAUUUUUGUGCAUUUAUAGAUGUGUGUAUUUAAUGUCCUCAGCACGUGUAUUUGUGUGGAUAUGUACAUAUACUUGGUAUUGCAUGGCUGUGAAAAUAAAACUGAGCUUUAUAAUAA